rfam:Hordeum vulgare subsp. vulgare, WGS project CAJW01000000 data, contig: morex_contig_37388
UUUAUACUCCCUUCGUCCUAAAAUUCUUGUCUUAGUUUUGUUUAAAAAUGAUUGUAUCUAAAUACUAAAAUGUGACUAGAUAUAUUCAUAUCUAGAGAAAUGUAAAACAAAAAUUUUAGGACGGAGGGAGUAUAUA